GAUGAACGCUGGCGGCGUGCCUAAUACAUGCAAGUCGAGCGAACGGACGAGAAGCUUGCUUCUCUGAUGUUAGCGGCGGACGGGUGAGUAACACGUGGAUAACCUACCUAUAAGACUGGGAUAACUUCGGGAAACCGGAGCUAAUACCGGAUAAUAUUUUGAACCGCAUGGUUCAAAAGUGAAAGACGGUCUUGCUGUCACUUAUAGAUGGAUCCGCGCUGCAUUAGCUAGUUGGUAAGGUAACGGCUUACCAAGGCAACGAUGCAUAGCCGACCUGAGAGGGUGAUCGGCCACACGGGAACUGAGACACGGUCCAGACUCCUACGGGAGGCAGCAGUAGGGAAUCUUCCGCAAGGGGCGAAAGCCUGACGGAGCAACGCCGCGGGAGUGAUGAAGGUCUUCGGAUCGUAAAACUCUGUUAUUAGGGAAGAACAUAUGUGUAAGUAACUGUGCACAUCUUGACGGUACCUAAUCAGAAAACCACGGCUAACUACGU
rnacentral:rRNA from 1 species